ensembl:snoRNA
GCAGGGGUUUGGAUUCGUGACAGGCCCAUCGCCCUGGGCCUGUCAUAGUAACCCAUGCCAGAGCAGACUGUCCCCAAACCAUUGCCUGGCCUCUGUGCCUGUAGGCUGCUCGCACUGAAGUGGCUUGCACAGCG